GGGUUGUGAGGUUAAGCGACUAAGCGUACACGGUGGAUGCCCUGGCAGUCAGAGGCGAUGAAGGACGUGCUAAUCUGCGAUAAGCGUCGGUAAGGUGAUAUGAACCGUUAUAACCGGCGAUUUCCGAAUGGGGAAACCCAGUGUGUUUCGACACACUAUCAUUAACUGAAUCCAUAGGUUAAUGAGGCGAACCGGGGGAACUGAAACAUCUAAGU
rnacentral:rRNA from 4 species